UUUCCGUAGGUGAACCUGCGGAAGGAUCAUUAUUGUAUAACCGUUUUGCGAAGUCUGUCGCUCACCCGAAAGGUUGUGCACGCCCUACUGCCCUCACACCCAUCCAUCUCACCCCUAUGUGCACCGCCUCGUGGCUCCCCCUUUGGUUUAUACUGUGAUGGAUUUACGUUUUCACACAACCCUUUUCUACAGUGUAUGAUUUAUUCCUUGCUUUUACGAAUACCCCAGCAACACAACUGACCACAACGGAACUCUUGGCUCACGCAUUGAUGCAGAACC
rnacentral:misc_RNA from 1 species